GCAAGUAGCAGUAGCAAGCCCUCUUGGCUGAGCAAGCCCUCUUGGCUGAGCAUGAUCAGGACUUGUUUGUACUUGGAUGGGAGACCUCCAGGAAAUCCUAGUGCUGUAGGCU
rnacentral:rRNA from 1 species